rnacentral:snRNA from 1 species
GUGCUCGCUUCGGCAGCACAUAUACUAAAAUUGGAACGAUACAGAGAUUAGCAUGGCCCCUGCUCAAGGAUGACAUGCAAAUUCAUGAAGCGUUCCAUAUUUUU